rnacentral:tRNA from 1 species
GGACUCGUGGCCGAGUGGCUAGGCAGAGGUCUGCAAAACCUUGUACGGCGGUUCGAAUCCGUUCGAGUCCU